ACGCUGGCGGCGUGCCUACACAUACAAGUCGAGCGGAGUACCCCAAGAAAAAUUUUCGAAUGGAUCUUGGACGUACUUAGCGGCGGACGGGUGAGUAACGCGUGGGCAACCUGCCCUGUACAGAGGAAUAACAUUGGGAAACCAGUGCUAAUACCUUAUAACACUUUUAAAAGGCAUCUUUUAAAAGUCAAAGUUUUUCGGUACAGGAUGGGCCCGCGUCUGAUUAGUUAGUUGGUAGGGUAAUGGCUUACCAAGACGAUGAUCAGUAGCCGACCUGAGAGGGUGAUCGGCCACACUGGAACUGAGACACGGUCCAGACUCCUACGGGAGGCAGCAGUGGGGAAUAUUGCACAAUGGGCGCAAGCCUGAUGCAGCAACGCCGCGUGAGCGAUGAAGGCCUUCGGGUCGUAAAGCUCUGUCCUAAGGGAAGAUAUAGACGGUACCUUANGAGGAAGCCCCGGCUAACUACGUGCCAGCAGCCGCGGUAAUACGUAGGGGGCAAGCGUUAUCCGGAAUUACUGGGCGUAAAGGGUGCGUAGGCGGUCUGGUAAGUCAGAGGUGAAAGACUAUUGCUCAACAAUAGCAAGCCUUUGAAACUACCGGNACUUGAGUGCAGGAGAGGGAGAGUGGAAUUUCUAGUGUAGCGGUGAAAUGCGUAGAUAUUAGAAGGAACACCAGUGGCGGAAGGCGACUCUCUGGGACUGCAACUGACGCUGAGGCACGAAAGCGUGGGGAGCGAACAGGAUUAGAUACCCUGGUAGUCCACGCCGUAAACGAUGAGUGC
rnacentral:rRNA from 1 species